GCGGGGAUCCCUGGGACCCAGCCUUGUUCUACUGCCCACUUGACGCGGCGGGCACCCUCCUUCCUGCUGUUGUCCACACCAAGGGUGGCCUACAGAGGGAAGUGAGGACCUUGGGACUUCCUCCAGGACAGCCCUCGCUGUCCAAAUCUCCACCUGCUGCAGAGCUGCCUCCAGUCAAGCCCUUGUUUCCAGCUUUCUGUGCCCUAAAUAAACUUCUGCUGGGAUUGAGCCAUCAGCAUUCUGUGGUGGGCGUCGCUGCUGCGAGGUUGCCCUCGUGCACACAAGCUCCUCAC
rnacentral:lncRNA from 1 species